CUCCAUUUCUCUUUUGUUUUUGGUACACAGUUCCUCUGACUUCCACAACACCUGCUCCGACAACUGAAACAAUCAGUCAGACAGUUCCCUCAACCUUCAUAAUACCUGUUCUGACAACUGAAACAACCAAUCAGACAGAGCCACCCAUCAUGACCAACACUGCUGCUAAAGUGUUCACUGGAGUAGGAGCUUCGGUUCUAGUAGUAGCGGUUCUAGUAGUAGCAGUUCUAGCGGUCACAUUUUUCAGAAGGAGGUGUUGUGGCCCAUUGCCACACCAGCAGCAUGCAAGGCCCAUUGAGAUGGAGAAUUUCCUGCCAAAUCCAGAUCAAGUGUAAUAAAACAAUAACGAUGUUUACUUAGGACCAGACCAUAACUGAAGAAUAACACUGGCGUGUUAUCAAUCAAGUGCAAUUGUUAGGUUUUCAGCUCUCUAAGC
rnacentral:lncRNA from 1 species